GUUUUUCGCUUGAGGAUGAGCCCAUGUGGGAUUAGCUAGUUGGUGGUAAUGGCUCACCAAGGCGACGAUCCCUAACUGGUCUUAGAGGAUGAUCAGUCACACUGGAACUGAGACACGGUCCAGACUCCUACGGGAGGCAGCAGUAGGGAAUAUUGCACAACGGAGGAAACUCUGAUGCAGCGACGCCGCGUGAGUGAUGAAGGCCUUCGGGUCGUAAAGCUCUGUCGUAUGGGACUAACAAAAUG
rnacentral:rRNA from 1 species